rnacentral:rRNA from 1 species
UACAGAGGGGGCAAGCGUUAUUCGGAAUUAUUGGGCGUAAAGGGCGCGUAGGCGGCAUGGCAAGUGGAAGGUGAAAUCCCUCGGCUUAACCGAGGAACUGCCGUCCAAACUGCUUUGCUUGAGGCCGGGAGAGGUGAGUGGAAUUCCCAGUGUAGCGGUGAAAUGCGUAGAUAUUGGGAGGAACACCAGUGGCGAAGGCGGCUCACUGGACCGGUUCUGACGCUGAGGCACGAAAGCGUGGGGAGCAAACGGG